CGCUCAUCCAGAGGGGCAGAGGGACACGGCCCGAUGAAGCCCCGGCAACCCUCCAGCCGUCCGCUCGCAUCCGCGAGGCCACGGCUCGGGAAGGUGCCAAAUCCGUCUCAUGGCGAAACGCGCCAGUGAGAAAGAUGAGGA
rnacentral:ncRNA from 2 species